rnacentral:rRNA from 1 species
UAAACCGUGGCUCAGUUCAGAUCGUAUGCUGCAACUCGCCUACGUGAAGGCGGAAUCGCUAGUAAUCGCAGGUCAGCAUACUGCGGUGAAUACGUUCCCGGGCCUUGUACACACCGCCCGUCACACCAUGGAAGUUGGCCACGCCCGAAGCCGUUACUCCAACCCUUGUGGAGGAGGACGUCGAAGGUGGGGCUGAUGACUGGGGUGAAGUCGUAACAAGGUAUCCGUACCGGAAGGUGCGGAUGGAUCACCUCCUAACA